UUAAUCUCCGCCGCGUGUGGCGCUCCUCUGGCACACCCGCCAGCGCGGGCCGCGUCCACGGCUCACAUGGAGUCCCCCUUGCGGCCUUGCCCAGACUAGGGUGGCUGGUCGGGCCGAGAUAGGGGGCUCCUGGCAGCGUUCGCGCAUGCCUCUGCCGACGCCGUCGGCUACCUUCGCUCCUCCUACGCCCCUACCGUAGCAGUCGCGCCCGCCGCUGACGAUGCCGCCGGCUACCUCCCCUCCUCCUUUGUCCCCAGCCGGUAUCCUUGGUGGCCUCGGUUGAGCGCUGAUUCGUCCAUUGCUCCCUGCAGAUGGAAGAUAUGUACAUGUCUAGAGGAGGCUGCAGCAUGUGGUGGUGGCCUAUGUUGGUCGGCGGAAUCACACCGGCCACUGGGGUUUCACCUGGAAGGAUGCUCUAGCCGCCGACUCUGCCAUGGAGUGGACGCCGCGCCGGUCAGGUUCCCAGCCGGUUGACACGGCUUUCUUUUCGGCCUCGGAUGGCUAGGCUAAUGGUGAUGCCGAGUAGGGCCUCGAUUGACAUCCAUGGCUUCCAGGAGCAUUGGAUCGAUCUCAUCCCGUCGGCCCCGACUGAUUCAGAGAGCACAUUGUAGUUCAGCAACGUGAAGGAAGUUCUGUUCCUUUCCAUUGGUGAUGGAUUUGUGGGGAACGAGACAUCAAACUUUCAACUAUGGUGAGGAUAUCUCUGGGGUUCAAGGUUCUUUUCUCUAUGUUCGUAUUCUGUCAGUAUUUUUUUGAUAUACACUAACCACACAACCCACUACUUCAGGCCCAAUGCAGCCCAGUGACCGUCCAAUACUCUUUAUCUUCCCCCGUUGCCAUAUAGGCCAUGUAAUAGCGCAUGCUUCUAUAAACACAACAAUUGACGUUUGGCGCUCCCUCUCCUAAUAAUAAGUUAAUAACUGAGAUGGCGCUCCUCUUCCUCUCCCCAUAGUCUUCACAAGUAACUGACGGAUUGUUGUUUAAAGUAUGUGCUCUGCCUCACCUUAUUUCUCAAUGUGCUCCAGCACGGCUGGGUGUCUGCCAUAGCACUCCUACUGCAGCCAUCCGUCAGCAACUACCUCCGAUUUCCUCCAAAUCCCCUAUGACAUGUUGCUACUUGCAUCACAAAUUGCAUUUUCUUAGGUGGUGCCUGCUGGACGACGUCCAAGUGUUCAUCUUCGCUGGUCUUCCAAUCUCUGCAUAUAUAGGAUGAUGCCGACAGACCUACCAGGUGUAGCUACAGGAACAAGACUGUAGUCUCCCCAAAAGACACAAGCAAGACAAUGCAGACAAUAAUAAUCCUGCAACCAACUCUGAACAUCCGGAGUAAACCAAACAUGCAGAAAAAUUAGGACAACAUCCGUUGUGCUACCGCUAAAAAUAAUCUUCGCCUUCCAUUGUAAUCCAGAAAUGCUAUCAAAUGAAAUACUUAUGUUUCGUGCAACAACACAUCUACGUAUGAUAUUGAGUGCGACCACAUGCAUCUGCAUGGAUAUAUUAUAAACAAAUGCCACGACUUCAAUUUCCCCUGCAACAUGUCCUAAUUUGUCCCGCUCAACUAUGUAUGUAGUGCUAUCACUGUGCCAAUGUUUAAAAAAGGUCAAAUAUU